rnacentral:lncRNA from 1 species
GACAAUGUUAAGCUUAACCUUUAUUUAGUAGCCCACUCACCCAAUUUUAACAAUAAUUCCCUCACACUAUUCUUUUUUCCCAAAUUUCUGUCUGUUAGCUUCUGCAAUUGAUUCAAGUUUGAUAACAUGCAGCCAACCCUUUCACUAAUAACAUUCUCUUUAGUUUUUCCAAAUCGUAAUUUCUUCGCUCCUGCAUUCAGAUCAAGCCAGCUAACCCGCUCAAUCCGUUCCUAUUUAGGUUCUAGGUACGAUCGGACGUUUUAUGGAAGAGCAGAGGACCACGAUUUGCCGUUCGAGUCGCCGAAUAAGCAAGCAAAAUCGGCGGAAUCUGAUUCUACCAGCAAACCCAAUCGCCAAGAAGACUUGAAGGAACCCUAAGUUGCUCCAUUGCAUCUCCCUCACCGUCACUUUCUCUGUAGGUAGUGCUCUGAAUCUUGCCUUUCUCUGUAGGUAGUGCUCUGAACCCAGCCUCUUGUAUAGUUUGAAUAUUAGUGCCUAUAGGUUCCUCCGAUGGAGUACUCUUCUCAAGAGUAUUACUCAAUGCAUCCGAAGAAGACAUUCUAUAAAUCAAGAAAUAUAAAUCAUGAAUUAAAAUCACAUAAAUCCAACUCAGAUAUUUCCAUAAUACGUUUAACUUAGUUUUAAGACACUUGUUAAUAGUAUCCAAUAGUAAAUAUAAAUAUUCACGUUAACUUUUUUUUUAUGAUAAUAUUCUCGUUAACUUUAAUAGAAUAAUUUAUGUGCAACCUAUAUAAACUUUUUGUUGUAUUAAACUGACAAGUAAAAUAAUAAAUUUCUAUAUUAUGGACCACAACGCCACAAACUAAUAGAUAAAUUGGAAGGUUAAUGGAAUGUUAGGAAACAGACUAGAGGGAAAAAGUGCAAUAAUUGAUAUUGACAUUCACGCCAUCACCAGGAAAAACCAAAAAAAAGUUACUGACAUUUCAAUUUCGAAUAAGAAACACCGAGGAGAUUAAUAUAAACAACAAAACAUCUUACACUAUUAUCAUGUCAAAGUAACAAAUCAACAUUUUUAUUACUCCAAAAAAAAUCAACAUUUUACAAAUAAUUUCUAUCAAAUCUGCAUUAAUGGAAAGAAAAAAUUGUUUUCCAUCUGAUAUGCAAAACGCAAGUGUACUUCUGCAGUUUUAUAUUGACCUAACUAAGUUGCCAUUGGUAAAUAUUGAAUCCAAACAUAGAGAACCAAAAUUCUUGACCAAAAUUGAUCACUUGCCAGAUCUCAUUGACCAAAAUUGAUUGCCAUAUCCAUACAAUAACUAUCCUAAAACGAAUCUGCUUAGCCAAUAUUUUCCCCUACUGCUUACGAAAUUGUCAAUACUCAAUAGGGGGACAAUAAUUCUCAUGGAUAUUCCAAAAGAGAUUGGCACCAAAAAACUGAUUUCACUAUCAUUUCCUUUCCAUUUUCAUAUGGCAUUUGGGCAUAUGUAUCUGCUAGAGGUUUGUUAUGUCCCCCUUGAAUUAUAUGACACAAAUCUUUAAGGAGUGUAUAAGUAGAGAAGCAUAGAAACGAAUUGAAGAGUAUAAUAUGGGAAUUGGAAAAUUUGUUUCAUAAACACUGUUGGGUUUAAUCUGCUCAGAUAUUGAAAUAUAAAUUACACAACCAGAAAUUCAUAGUCGAAAAUUCAUUAACCUAAUCAGAAAUUCACAAAUUAGUUAACCUAAUCAGAAAUUUACAAAUUCAAAACUCAGAAAUCUAGAAAUUCAAAACACAGAAACUCAAAUUAAUUGGAAUCUCAUUAAUUCAGAACACAGAAAUUUCUUACCCUAAUUCAAAAAUCUAAUUUCAGAAAAGAGGAUGGAAGACCAGCGAAGACCAGGGCUAACAUACCUGAACCUGACGGAGAAAAUGGGAAGGAAGACCAGCGAAGACCGGGAUGCAAAGAGGAAGACCCGCGGCGGUGAGCUCGACUGCCUCGACACCUUCAGUGAGCGAACCGAGCCACUCAAGGGGUCUGGAGUGGGAGGCAGCGAUGAGAGACCAGAG